AUACCACCUGGCAGGGGAGACACCAUGAUCAGGAAGGUGGUUUUCCCAUGGUGAGGCAUUUCCAUUGCAAUUGGGAAUGUCCUGACCUCCCAGUUUCCCCAAAUGCAGGAAACUCGACUGCGUACUUACUUUCUGGUAGUAGGGGACAAAGUUUGCACUGUUCCCUG
ensembl:snRNA U1 U1 spliceosomal RNA